rfam:Pongo abelii chromosome 6.
GCUGGGUGUGGUGGUGCACACCUGUAGUUCCAGCUACUAGGGAGGCUGAGGUGGGAGGAUCGCUUGAGCCCAGGAGGCUGAGGCUACAGUGAGCCAUGAGCAUGCCACUGUGCUCCAGCCUGGGUGACAGAGUGAGACCUUGUCUCAA